rnacentral:tRNA from 1 species
GAGUGGAUAGCUUAAUUGGUAGAGUGUUGGUCUCCAAAAUCAAUUGAUGAGAGUUCGAGUCUCUCUCCACUUG